rnacentral:rRNA from 1 species
GUAAUGUCUGGGAAACUGCCUGAUGGAGGGGGAUAACUACUGGAAACGGUAGCUAAUACCGCAUAAUGUCGCAAGACCAAAGAGGGGGACCUUCGGGCCUCUUGCCAUCGGAUGUGCCCAGAUGGGAUUAGCUAGUAGGUGGGGUAACGGCUCACCUAGGCGACGAUCCCUAGCUGGUCUGAGAGGAUGACCAGCCACACUGGAACUGAGACACGGUCCAGACUCCUACGGGAGGCAGCAGUGGGGAAUAUUGCACAAUGGGCGCAAGCCUGAUGCAGCCAUGCCGCGUGUAUGAAGAAGGCCUUCGGGUUGUAAAGUACUUUCAGCGGGGAGGAAGGGAGUAAAGUUAAUACCUUUACUCAUUGACGUUACCCGCAGAAGAAGCACCGGCUAACUCCGUGCCAGCAGCCGCGGUAAUACGGAGGGUGCAAGCGUUAAUCGG